rnacentral:rRNA from 1 species
UACGGGGGGAGCAAGCGUUGUUCGGAUUUACUGGGCGUAAAGGGCGCGUAGGCGGCCACCGCAAGUCGACUGUGAAAUCUCACAGCUUAACUGUGAAACUGCAUUGGAUACUAUCCGGCUCGAGGAAUGGAGGGGAGACUGGAAUACUUGGUGUAGCAGUGAAAUGCGUAGAUAUCAAGUGGAACACCAGUGGCGAAGGCGAGUCUCUGGACAUUUCCUGACGCUGAGGCACGAAAGCCAGGGGAGCAAACGGG